CGAACUGUUUUACGUGCGCAUCAUCAAGUUUGCCCCAAUUGCUUAGAGAGCAUCAUUGGGCUUGGUUUGGUUUCUGUGUUGGCUACCUACUUGGAAGAGAGUGUCCCUUAAUAUUUGUCUUUGUAUCGGCUUGCACCCUUUUAKKGGGAAUGCUCGCUGAUCUUAGUAAUGCUUCUCAUAUUCCAUUGUCACGCUAUCACAGUGUAGUGGUGGCAACGGCCUAUGUGUAAGUAUUCGUAAUCUUGGAUGCGGAAUGCGGAAUUGGGUAUUGGGUUGAAUAAACCUUUUAUCCCAAGCAGAGCAUCUUAUGCUCGGCACGUACGACACUAGCAAUUGCGUUGACCUUUCCCAACUUGAUUGAUGGGGGGG
rnacentral:misc_RNA from 1 species